rnacentral:tRNA from 11 species
GGGGUCAUAGCUCAAUUGGUAGAGCGCUUGCCUUGCACGCAAGAGGUUAGGAGUUCAAUUCUCCUUGAUUCCA